rnacentral:rRNA from 1 species
AACCUGCCCCAUAGUCUGGGAUAACACCUGGAAACAGAUGCUAAUACCGGAUAACAACAGAUGAUGCCUAUCAACUGUUUAAAAGAUGGUUCUGCUAUCACUCUUGGAUGGACCUGCGGUGCAUUAGCUAGUUGGUAGGGUAACGGCCUACCAAGGCGAUGAUGCAUAGCCGAGUUGAGAGACUGAUCGGCCACAUUGGGACUGAGACACGGCCCAAACUCCUACGGGAGGCAGGAGCA